rnacentral:lncRNA from 1 species
CUACCAUGAUUGUGAGGCCUCCCCAGUUAUGUGGAACUCAAAGCUAGAGGAAACCAAAGUCAUAGAACAUCUGAACUCUGUCCAAACAUCGGUCGUAUUUCAAAAUUUCAGUAGCCACCAUCCCGCAGCCAACGAUAAUAUCUGACACUUCCUGACAUCAUGAAAGCCACCAUCUGUCUAUCACCAAAACCCUGUACUUUUUAAAGACUACUUGGCUUGAUCCUUAAUGAAGCUUCAAGUUGAAUGCACAGA